AAACCACUGUUACAAGUGGGACAAGCCAUCGAGUUACCUAGCAAUACGUGGCAUACGGCUCAGUAACACGUGGUCAACAUGCCCAGAGGACGUGGAUAACCUCGGGAAACUGAGGAUAAACCGCGAUAAGUCAUGAUUCCUGGAAUGGUUCAUGGCCUGAAAUCUAUAUGGCCUUUGGAUUGGACUGCGGCCGAUCAGGCUGUUGGUGAGGUAAUGGCCCACCAAACCUGUUACCGGUACGGGCUCUGAGAGGAGGAGCCCGGAGAUGGGCACUGAGACAAGGGCCCAGGCCCUAUGGGGCGCAGCAGGCGCGAAACCUCUGCAAUAGGCGAAAGCUUGACAGGGUUACUCUGAGUGAUUUCCGUUAAGGAGAUCUUUUGACACCUCUAAAAAUGGUGUAGAAUAAGGGGUGGGCAAGUCUGGUGUCAGCCGCCGCGGUAAUACCAGCACCCCGAGUUGGUCGGGACGAUUAUUGGGCCUAAAGCAUCCCGUAGCCGGUCCUACAAGUCUUCGUUAAAUCCACCUGCUCAACAGAUGGGCUGCGGAAGAUACUAUAGGGCUAGGAGGCGGGAGAGGCAAGCGGUACUCAGUGGGUAGGGGUAAAUCCUCUUGAUCCAUUGAAAAACACCAGUGGCGGGAGGCGGCUUGCAGAACGCGCUCACGGUGAGGAUAAAACUUGGGGGAACCAACCGGAUUAAUUCCCGGGUAUCCCACUGUAACGAUCANACCCGUGAUGGUUUGCCUUNUUNCAACCAAUUCCNANGGAACCGUUNANUUUCCCCUUGGGAGUUCNGNCCNANAUUAAACUUAAAGAAUUGGCGGGGAACCCNCAAGGGGUNACC
rnacentral:rRNA from 1 species